GGGGUUAUAGCUCAGUGGUAGAGUGUGUGCUUAGCAUGCAUGAGGUCCUGGGUUCAAUCCCCAGUACCCCCA
rnacentral:tRNA from 1 species